GUGUCAAAAGCAUUUGGUUGUCACAAUGACAGUGUUGGUGCAGCAGAAGGAAAAACAGGCUCUUUAAAUUUCUGUCAGGGUGACAGACAACUUCAGGUCAGUACAGAAAACGACAACACCUUAUAUACUUUACAGAAUCAAAUUUCUCCUGUAAGCCUGGCUCAUGGCUUUAACUCUCCUUUCUCUCUUUGCAGGUAGUUGAAGUGUCCUGUAGUGCAAAAAGGAACAUAAGGUAAAAAGGAUAUGAAGAGCUGCUUUGUACAGCUGUUACAUGUGCAGCAGAUUGUGCGUCCUCACAUGAAACACUUUUGUUUCCAGCCAAACUGCCUGCAAUGUGGUGCUGCUGCUCAACCAUGCUGUCUCAGUGUGUGAACUUCAACAAGCUGGAGACGCUGCACUGCAGCAAGCGAGAAUCAUAGGGGAGAUGGAGAGAGUCGGUCGAAAUCUGUGUAAGGAUGCAGAGCCCUCUAGUGGCGGUUUUGUGAGAUGCAAUUCCACGUCUUCUCUUGACGAUAUCUGUCAGUCAAAUAAAUCCUCUCCACUAACAUGCUUCCUCUUAGAGUCCAACUCCAACCCGGCUCCUAAAUUGAAGAAUGACUCUUGUAGCAGGGAAAUGCCUCGCUACUGUGAUUGCACAGCUUUCUGUAAUUCUACACGUAAGAAAAAUAAUCACAAUAUUGCACUGACAUUUUUAGAAUCCAGGCUGCUGCUGCAAUAUGUGAUGAGUGAAUGCACCAUUUUUAUUCAAAUUUAAAGAAAAUAUUUAGGCUUUUGGAAAACAUAACGUUGCUUCUAUGAAGCAAGCUAUCUGAGAAGAGAACUUCUCAGUUAAUAAGUAUUUUUAUGGUGUCUCAGAAACUCCACCCACAUACUAACCAUCCCUUUUCUUUAUCGCUUUCUCAGGCCAAUUUUAUGCUUUUAGAAUCAAUGUUACUAGUGAAGCUGUUAACAUUCAGUCCCUAAAAAGCUUGGUAUGUACCACACUGUAUGCUUAAAGUAUGACUCAUUAAUAUAUAAUUAAUAUACAUAUAUAUAUACAGUGGCUUGCAAAAGUAUUCGUAUAAUGUGACAAAAUGUGGGGCCGAAUACUUUUGCAAGCCACUGUAUAUAUAUACAUAUACGUAUAUAUUUUAUGCAACUUUGUAACUUUGUAACCCUAUUUGACAGUUACUAAGUCCUGCAUGUCCCACAAAUUCACAGUAAGUCUUGAUCCAGUUACAUUACAUACAGUAAGUGUGGAUUGUGUUGAUAUUUACUAUGCAUUUGUUAGUAUCAGUAUGUUGGUCACAACAGCAGACAAAGCAACAGUAAGCAGUAAAAAGUUCUGCUGUUAAACUAAACUGUCCUGGUUCCCAUAUGGAAAAGAAAUAGUAAAAACUUAUAUGAUUUACUCAUGAAAGUGGCCACUUUCAUGAGUAAAUCAUAUAAGGCUUACAUGAUUUACUCAUGAAAGUGGCCACUUUCUCAUUACUUUCAUAUAUUGUUUUAGUAAGUAUCCAAAACAUACAAGUUUCAUUUAUAUAAUUUUUCAAGGGAUCUU
rnacentral:lncRNA from 1 species